CAAAAGAAAGUUUAAUAUUUUUCUAUACUAAUCCUAAUAUAAGAAAGCGAUUAAAAUGUAGUAAAUUGAUAUGUGAAUGAGUGUAGUGGAAUCUCGAAUCCCCCUAUUGCCAUUUAUUUCAAUUCUUAAUUUGUAAUUUAAAUAAUUUCAUGCAUUCAAGACAAUCGACAAUUCACUUUUAUUCAAUAUUCUUUUCCAAGAUAUAUUAAACAUAUGUUUAACACGACCCGAUCAUAUUCCUAGUCCGAAUUCAUAUGAAAAAUAUACAUUGAUUCACAGGAUUUAUCAUACAUGAUUGCACAUGCUAUAGAGAUUAUUCUUAAUACAUAUUGCCCAUGUGUUGAUUUUACCGCGUUCUAGACUUAUUGUGAGUAUUCCUACACUUUAACAAGUAACUUACUAUAUAAUUGGUGAUCAAACAAUUAAAUUGUUCGAUAAAAAUACAAAACCAAUCACUUAUUAUUACUUGUCAACGAUUCCGUGCCCUUGUGGGUUUUACACGAACACCGUCAAAUUCCUCACUCUUCCUUGACCACAAGGGAAAUGCUUGGGAAACACAGAAACCCCACAAUAGGUGGGUGUCCCUUUUUUCUUUUUUCUUUUUGUGUGCAGGGCCCCCUAUUUUUGGUGUU
rnacentral:lncRNA from 1 species